rnacentral:rRNA from 1 species
GACGAACGCUGGCGGCGUGCCUAAUACAUGCAAGUCGAGCGAAGUUUUUCUGGUGCUUGCACCGGAAAAACUUAGCGGCGAACGGGUGAGUAACACGUAAAGAACCUGCCUCAUAGACUGGGACAACUAUUGGAAACGAUAGCCAAUACCGGAUAACAGCAUUAACUGCAUGAUUGAUGUUUAAAAGUUGGUUUUGCUAACACUAUGAGAUGGCUUUGCGGUGCAUUAGCUAGUUGGUGGGGUAAAGGCCUACCAAGGCGACGAUGCAUAGCCGACCUGAGAGGGUGAUCGGCCACACUGGGACUGAGACACGGCCCAGACUCCUACGGGAGGCAGCAGUAGGGAAUCUUCCGCAAUGGGCGAAAGCCUGACGGAGCAACGCCGCGUGAGUGAAGAAGGAUUUCGGUUCGUAAAGCUCUGUUGUUAGGGAAGAAUGAUUGUGUAGUAACUAUACACAGUAGAGACGGUACCUAACCAGAAAGCCACGGCUAACUACGUG